AUACGAAAGGUGCAAGCGCUGUUCGGAUUUACUGGGCGUAAAGAGAGUGUAGGUUGUUUAUUAAGUCGGAUGUGAAAUCCCGGGGCUCAACCUCGGAACUGCAUUCGAUACUGGUAGACUAGAGUUCGGGAGGGGUAAGCGGAAUUCCGUGUGUAGCAGUGAAAUGCGUAGAUAUACGGAGGAACACCUGAGGCGAAGGCGGCUUACUGGACCGAUACUGACACUGAGACUCGAAAGCGUGGGUAGCAAACAGGAUUAGAUACCCUAGUAGUCC
rnacentral:rRNA from 1 species